rnacentral:rRNA from 1 species
AUGGUCCUUAUCCGUUAUGGCGUCCAGUACCUGAUCGAGCACCCGCCUCCACCCAAUGCCGACCGCCAUUAUCUUGAGCUCGACACCCAUGUCGCCCUCGCCACGUAUGCCACUCUCACCGAUCAGCUCGUUGACCACGUGAUCGGCGCCACCACCACUUUCGAUCUCUAGACUCGGAUCCGGGAUUACUUCCUCGCCAAUCGUGCGGCUCAGUACAUGAUGCUUAAUCGCCAAUAUCGCAACCUCAAACAGGGCGAUCUCUCUGUCGAUGAAUAUGCGCGCCGCAUGAAGUUGCUCACCGCGGGUCUCGCCGACAUCGACCAUGUGGUCUCCAAGGUGGAUCUCACCAUGCAGUUCCUCCACGGCAUCGACGGCCGUCUCGACACCAUCCGGGUCGUGCUGGGGGACACGGUUCCCUUGCCCCGUUCGAAACCGUCUUCUCGCGCCUGA